GAUGAAGAACGUAGCAAAAUGCGAUAAGUAAUGUGAAUUGCAGAAUUCAGUGAAUCAUCGAAUCUUUGAACGCACAUUGCGCCCGCCAGUAUUCUGGCGGGCAUGCCUGUUCGAGCGUCAUUUCAACCCUCAAGCACAGCUUGGUGUUGGGACUCGCGUUAAUUCGCGUUCCUCAAAUUGAUUGGCGGUCACGUCGAGCUUCCAUAGCGUAGUAGUAAAACCCUCGUUACUGGUAAUCGUCGCGGCCACGCCGUUAAACCCCAACUUCUGAAUGUUGACCUCGGAUCAGGUAGGUAUACCCGCUGAACUUAAGCAUAUCAAUAAGCGGAGGA
rnacentral:misc_RNA from 1 species